rnacentral:rRNA from 1 species
UACGGAGGGGGCGAGCGUUAUUCGGAAUUAUUGGGCGUAAAGGGCGCGUAGGCGGCUAGGGAAGUCAAAGGUGAAAUCCCUCGGCUCAACUGAGGAACUGCCUUUGAAACUGCCUAGCUUGAGGCCGGGAGGGGGUGGCGGAAUUCCCAGUGUAGCGGUGAAAUGCGUAGAUAUCAGGAGGAACACCGAUGGCGAAGGCAGGUCUCUGGGCUGACACUGACGCUCAUGCACGAAAGCGUGGGGAGCAAACAGG